rnacentral:rRNA from 1 species
CGACCGGCGCACGGGUGAGUAACACGUAUGCAACCUGCCCGUCUCAGGGGGAUAAUCGUCGGAAACGGCGUCUAAUACCCCGUAUGAAGCUGGACGGCAUCGUCUGGUUUUGAAAGAAUAUCGGAGACGGAUGGGCAUGCGGCGCAUUAGCUAGUUGGCGGGGUAACGGCCCACCAGGGCGACGAUGCGUAGGGGUUCUGAGAGGAAGGUCCCCCACACUGGUACUGAGACACGGACCAGACUCCUACGGAAGGCAGCAG